AUUGAACGCUGGCGGCAGGCCUAACACAUGCAAGUCGAACGAGUGGCGGACGGGUGAGUAAUGUAUGGGAAUCUGCCUGAUGGAGGGGGAUAACUACUGGAAACGGUGGCUAAUACCGCAUACCAUCGGAUGUGCCCAUAUGGGAUUAGCUAGUAGGUGGGGUAAAGGCUCACCUAGGCGACGAUCCCUAGCUGGUCUGAGAGGAUGAUCAGCCACACUGGGACUGAGACACGGUCCAGACUCCUACGGGAGGCAGCAGUGGGGAAUAUUGCACAAUGGGCGCAAGCCUGAUGCAGCCAUGCCGCGUGUAUGAAGAAGGCCUUAGGGUUGUAAAGUACUUUCAGCGGGGAGGCGUUACCCGCAGAAGAAGCACCGGCUAACUCCGUGCCAGCAGCCGCGGUAAUAC
rnacentral:rRNA from 1 species